rnacentral:rRNA from 1 species
CCUACGGUGAGCUGCAGUGAGGAAUAUUGGUCAAUGGGCGCGAGCCUGAACCAGCCAAGUCGCGUGAGGGAGGACGGCCCUACGGGUUGUCAACCUCUUUUGCCGGGGAGCAACGGGCGUCACGUGUGGCGCCACUGAGAGUACCCGGAGAAACAGCAUCUGCUAACUCCGUGCCAGCAGCCGCGGUAAUACGGGGGAUGCGAGCGUUAUCCGGAUUUAUUGGGGUUACAGGGUGCGUAGGAGGAUCGUUAAGUAAGUGGUCAAAUUGAGGGGCUCAACCCCUUCCCGCCAUUGAAACUGGCGUUCGUGAGUGGAAGAGAAGUAUGCGGAAUGAGAGGUGUAGCGGUGAACUGCAUAGAGAUAACGCAGAACCCCGAUGGCGAAGGCAGCAUGCCGGCUUCCGACUGACGCUGAAGCACGAAAGCGUGGGGAUCGAACAGGAUUAGAUACCCCUGUAGUC